GAUGAAGAACGCAGCGAAAUGCGAUAAGUAAUGUGAAUUGCAGAAUUCAGUGAAUCAUCGAAUCUUUGAACGCAUCUUGCGCCCUGUGGUAUUCCGCAGGGCAUGCCUGUUCGAGCGUCAUUUCAACCCUCAAGCUCUGCUUGGUGUUGGGCCCUGCCCGCUGCGGCCGGCCCUAAAGACAGUGGCGGUGCCGCCUGGCCCUGAGCGUAGUACAUCUCUCGCUCCAGUGCCCGGUGGUAGCCUGCCAGAACCCCAACUCUCGUGGUUGACCUCGGAUCAGGUAGGGAUACCCGCUGAACUUAAGCAUAUCAAUAAGCGGAGGA
rnacentral:misc_RNA from 1 species